rnacentral:rRNA from 1 species
AUUAGAUAAAAAACCAAUGCCCUUCGGGGCUUUCUGGUGAUUCAUAAUAACUAAACGAAUCGCAUGGCCUUGAGCCGGCGAUGGUUCAUUCAAAUUUCUGCCCUAUCAACUUUCGAUUGUAGGAUAGAGGCCUACAAUGGUUUCAACGGGUAACGGAGAAUUAGGGUUCGGUUCCGGAGAGGGAGCCUGAGAAACGGCUACCACAUCCAAGGAAGGCAGCAGGCGCGCAAAUUACCCAAUCCCGACACGGGGAGGUAGUGACAAUAAAUACUGAUACAGGGCUCUUUUGGGUCUUGUAAUUGGAAUGAGUACAAUUUAAAUCCCUUAACGAGGAACAAUUGGAGGGCAAGUCGGGUGCCAGCAGCCGCGGUAAUUCCAGCUCCAAUAGCGUAUAUUAAAGUUGUUGCAGUUAAAAAGCUCGUAGUUGAACCUUGGGUCUGGCUGGUCGGUCCGCCUCACCGCGUGCACUGAUCCGGCCGGACCUUUCCUCUUGGGGAUCCACAUGCCCUUUACUGGG